UACGUAGGGUGCAAGCGUUGUCCGGAAUUAUUGGGCGUAAAGAGCUCGUAGGCGGUUUGUCGCGUCUGCUGUGAAAACUCGGGGCUUAACCCCGGGCCUGCAGUCGAUACGGGCAGACUGGAGUUCGGCAGGGGAGACUGGAAUUCCUGGUGUAGCGGUGAAAUGCGCAGAUAUCAGGAAGAACACCCGUGGCUAAGGCGGCUCUCUAGUACGGUACUGACGCUGAGACGCGAAAGCGUGGGGAGCGAACAGG
rnacentral:rRNA from 1 species